GGUUACAUCACGUUGAAACACCGGUUUCCGUAUGAUCACCAAAGUUAAGCAACAUCUAGUCUGAUCAGUACCGAGAGGGGUUACCGCAUGGAAAUAUCAGUUGCUGUAA